rnacentral:rRNA from 1 species
CCUUACCUACCCUUGACAUGUCUGGAAUGCCGAAGAGAUUUGGCAGUGCUCGCAAGAGAACCGGAACACAGGUGCUGCAUGGCUGUCGUCAGCUCGUGUCGUGAGAUGUUGGGUUAAGUCCCGCAACGAGCGCAACCCUUGUCAUUAGUUGCUACGAAAGGGCACUCUAAUGAGACUGCCGGUGACAAACCGGAGGAAGGUGGGGAUGACGUCAAGUCCUCAUGGCCCUUAUGGGUAGGGCUUCACACGUCAUACAAUGGUCGGGACAGAGGGCUGCCAACCCGCAAGGGGGAGCCAAUCCCAGAAACCCGAUCGUAGUCCGGAUCGCAGUCUGCAACUCGACUGCGUGAAGUCGGAAUCGCUAGUAAUCGCGGAUCAGCAUGUCGCGGUGAAUACGUUCCCGGGUCUUGUACACACCGCCCGUCACACCAUGGGAGUGGGUUUUACCAGAAGUAGUUAGCCUAACCGCAAGGGGGGCGAUUACCACGGUAGGAUUCAUGACCGGGGUGAAGUCGUAACAAGGUAAGCGUAGCGAG